rnacentral:lncRNA from 1 species
UUGAGCUUUUCAGGCCUCAUUUUCACUAUAGGACCAGUGAAUAACUCUGGAUGGCAGAUAAAUCAUAGGGUGGAGAGAAAGGAGUAGAAGGCUUCAAUGAUGAUACCCUGUUUCCGUCAAUGACAGAUAAGGCCCGAAGAUCCAGACUGAUGAUAAGCCUAAAGCUGGUGGAGGACAAUCACUACUGGAUUCUACCACAGAAGGCUGCAAACACGGCUGAGGAUUUUUACUAAAGUUACAAAAAUCAUUAUCGUUCUGGGGAAUCCACCUGCCAUGGUGAGUAGCACUACAAGAGAGGCCCAUGCAGCAAAGAAUUGAAACCUCUAAACAAUAGCCAUGUAAGUAAGUUUGGAAAUGGAUUCUUAGCCUAACCUUAGGAUAACUGUGGCCCCAGGCAAUAGCUGGACUGGAAUCUUAUAGAGAUUUUGCACCAAAACCGCUUAGCUCAUCUGCUACCAGAUUCCAGGCCCACAGAAGCCCUGAGAUUAAAAAAAUGUUUGAAGAUUUAGGCUACGAAGUUUUGGAUAAUU